rnacentral:rRNA from 1 species
CCUACGGGAGGCAGCAGUGAGGAAUAUUGGUCAAUGGCCGGAAGGCUGAACCAGCCAUGCCGCGUGAAGGUCAGUGCCCUAUGGGCGUUAAACUUCUUUUGUGCGGGAGCAAUAAUGGUCACGUGUGGCCAGACGAGAGUACCGUACGAAUAAGCAUCGGCUAACUCCGUGCCAGCAGCCGCGGUAAUACGGGGGAUGCAAGCGUUGUCCGGAAUGACUGGGCGUAAAGGGUGCGUAGGCGGCAUAAUAAGUUAGAAGUGAAAUACCCAGAGCUUAACUCGGGUGCUGCUUCUAAGACUGUUGAGCUUGAGUGCGGGAGAGGUUAAUGGAAUUCCUAGUGUAGCGGUGGAAUGCGUAGAUAUUAGGAGGAACACCAGAGGCGAAGGCGAUUAACUGGACCGUAACUGACGCUGAGGCACGAAAGUGUGGGUAGCAAACAGGAUUAGAUACCCUAGUAGUC